AUGGACUAAAUCCAUCUGUGCAUAAGCCAAGAUACACAUUCCUACACUCGUUAGCAAAGUCAGGAUAUACCGUUUGAAAGUGUUUCCACGCCUUUGCAUCUGAUGGGUGCGUUAUUUCUCCGUCUGCAGUUGUAUGUUGAGCAUGCCAUCUCAUUUUUGCCGCAGUUCUUUCCGAUUGAUAUAAGCGUUUCAAUCUAUCAGUUAUUGGCAAGUACCACAUCCGUUUAUAUGGCACUCGCGUCCUUCCGCCAGUAGUCUGGUAUCUCGGCUUCCCGCAAAACCGACAUUCCUGCAGAUUUACAUCAUCUCCCCAGAAAAUCAUGCAAUAGUC
rnacentral:sRNA from 1 species